rnacentral:rRNA from 1 species
UAACUCUGGAACUGCCAUCAAAACUUUUCAGCUAGAGUAUGAUAGAGGAAAGCAGAAUCUCUAGUGUAGAGGUGAAAUUCGUAGAUAUUAGAAAGAAUACCAAUUGCGAAGGCAGCUUUCUGGAUCAUUACUGACACUGAGGAACGAAAGCAUGGGUAGCGAAGAGGAUUAGAUACCCUCGUAGUCCAUGCCGUAAACGAUGUGUGUUAGACGUUGGAAAUUUAUUUUCAGUGUCGCAGGGAAACCGAUAAACACACCGCCUGGGGAGUACGACCGCAAGGUUAAAACUCAAAUGAAUUGACGGGGACCCGCACAAGUAGUGGAGCAUGUGGUUUAAUUCGAAGAUACGCGCAGAACCUUACCAACACUUGACAUGUUCGUCGCGACUCUAAGAGAUUAGAGUUUUCGGUUCGGCCGGACGAAACACAGGUGCUGCAUGGCUGUCGUCAGCUCGUGUCGUGAGAUGUUGGGUUAAGUCCCGCAACGAGCGCACCCUCACUUUUAGUUGCCAUCAUUAAGUUGGGCACUCUGAAAGAACUGCCAGUGAUAAGCUGGAGGAAGGUGGGGAUGACGUCAAGUCCUCAUGGCCCUUACGUGUUGGGCUACACACGUGCUACAAUGGCAUCUACAACAGGAAGCAAAACGGCAACGUUAAGCAAAUCCCGAAAAGAUGCCUCAGUUCGGAUUGCACUCUGCAACUCGAGUGCAUGAAGCUGGAAUUACUAGUAAUCGUGGAUCAGCGUGCCACGGUGAAUGCGUUCCCGGGUCUUGUACACACCGCCCGUCACACCAUGGGAAUUGGUUCUACCUUAAGGCAAGGUUUUAAACCCUUGACCACGGUAUAGUCAGCGACUGGGGUGAAGUCGUAACAAGGUAGCC